UGGGGAAUUUUGGACAAUGGGGGCAACCCUGAUCCAGCCAUCCCGCGUGUGCGAUGAAGGCCUUCGGGUUGUAAAGCACUUUGGCAGGGAAGAAACAGCCUGGGAUAAUACCCCCGGGCGACUGACGGUACCUGCAGAAUAAGCACCGGCUAACUACGUGCCAGCAGCCGCGGUAAUACGUAGGGUGCAAGCGUUAAUCGGAAUACUGGGCGUAAAGCGUGCGCAGGCGGUUCGGAAAGAAAGGUGUGAAAUCCCAGGGCUUAACCUUGGAACUGCACUUUUAACUACCGACUAGAGUACGUCAGAGGGGGGUAGAAUUCCACGUGUAGCAGUGAAAUGCGUAGAGAUGUGGAGGAAUACCGAUGGCGAAGGCAGCCCCCUGGGAUGAUACUGACGCUCAUGCACGAAAGCGUGGGGAGCAAACAGGAUUAGAUACCCUGGUAGUCCACGCCCUAAACGAUGUCAACUAGCUGUUGGGGUUUAUUAACCUUAGUAGCGCAGCUAACGCGUGAAGUUGACCNCCUGGGGAGUACGGUCGCAAGAUUAAAACUCAAAUGAAUUGACGGGGGUCAUAGCUGUUUCCUG
rnacentral:rRNA from 1 species